rnacentral:rRNA from 1 species
AUUGAACGCUGGCGGCAGGCCUAACACAUGCAAGUCGAGCGGAUGAAGGGAGCUUGCUCUUGGAUUCAGCGGCGGACGGGUGAGUAAUGCCUAGGAAUCUGCCUGGUAGUGGGGGAUAACGUCCGGAAACGGGCGCUAAUACCGCAUACGUCCUUAGGGAGAAAGUGGGGAUCUUCGGACCCCACGCUAUCAGAUGAGCCUAGGUCGGAUUAGCUAGUUGGUGGGGUAAAGGCCUACCAAGGCGACGAUCCGUAACUGGUCUGAGAGGAUGAUCAGUCACACUGGAACUGAGACACGGUCCAGACUCCUACGGGAGGCAGCAGUGGGGAAUAUUGGACAAUGGGCGAAAGCCUGAUCCAGCCAUGCCGCGUGUGUGAAGAAGGUCUUCGGAUUGUAAAGCACUUUAAGUUGGGAGGAAAGGCAGUAAGUUAAUACCUUGCUGUUUUGACGUUACCAACAGAAUAAGCACCGGCUAACUUCGUG